GGGGCUGUGUUAGGAAAAUUGGCCUAAGUACCAAGGCCGUAACUAGGCAUCUUAUUUUAGUGAGGCAAAUAAUUGAGCCGAGCGAAGCGAUGCAAUUUUUUUUUUUUUUUUGGAGGGUAUGAAAUGAAUGGUGCAAAAUCCUGCAUUCUAGGCAUUUUUAGAGAGUUUGAUAAUGUUUUGAACUUGGACACUUUUUAUAUAAAUUUUUUAUAUUUUAAUACUUUUACUAACAC
rnacentral:lncRNA from 1 species